CUGUGCUUUGUCUUAGUUCAUGGAGCUUUAGUUUUUUUCUGUCAAUUUCAUUAAGCAAACGGUAAAGUUUCAAGCUUUUUUUUCGGUUUUGUGAUGAGCGCUAAGGAGGUUAUCUAUAAAAAUUGGAACUUUUUGAAGCUUUCUGUGCCCCUGUGAUGCUCUUGAUUGAUGAAUGUAAUUUUCGUAAAGUUAAUACUUUUUUUACAGCUAAUUAGUAUCCACAAUAAUAUGUCUAUAGUACUUACUGCAAGUAGAUAUAUUCACUGUUUGUUACAGUGGGACUUUCAUUAGAUUAUAUUACCUUUUAGAUACUUGUGUGCCAUGUUUUAGAAUGUUAUUAUUGAACUAUUGUCCUGUCACCGAUGGAUGCUUUGCUUUGCUGUUUUGCAGACGAGCAUGGUUGGUUGAUAAAAACCGCAUUGCAACUAAAAUCUUGAGUGCAUCAGACCCCUGUCCUACGGUGUGGAACACCAAUCCUACUAGACACUGUCCCAACUGUCAUCACGUCAUUGACAACAGCCAUGUACGUCUUUCUCUUUUGAUGUCCAUUCUCCAAUACCGUUGUAAAAAUACAAGUUUCUGUUACAUUUUCCAGGAAGUUGAUGACUGGCCAGGCUUGCCACGCGGCGUCAAGUUCGACCCAUCUGAUCCAGAGAUCAUAUGGCAUUUGCUUGCAAAAACUGGCUCACUUGGUUUAACUCCCCACCCUUUCAUUGACGAGUUCAUCCCAACCGUUGAUCAAGACGAUGGAAUCUGUUACACUCAUCCUAAGAACUUACCAGGUGUUAAGCACGAUGGGACUAUGUGCCACUUCUUCCACAGAGCAAUCAAGGCUUACAGCACGGGAACUCGGAAGCGCAGAAAGAUUCAAGACGAUGAUCUUGGCGAUGUGCGCUGGCACAAGACUGGGAGGACUAAGACUGUUGUGUUGGAUGGUGUUCAGAGAGGUUGCAAGAAGAUAAUGGUUCUCUAUGAAGGAAAAUCCGUGAAAACCAACUGGGUGAUGCACCAGUAUCAUUUAGGAACAGACGAAGAUGAGAAGGAUGGUCAGUACGUUGUCUCUAAGAUAUUCUACCAGCAGCCUCAGCAGCAAGGAGUUCUCAAAAAAGGUGGUGAUAAAGCUGAAGAGGAAGUCUCUGAAGAUAUCUUUGCUGCUGCAACCACCACUCCUAAAGCGGAUCCUGUCACUCCGAGAUUGUUUACACCUGAGCCUAGUAGACAAGCUGUGCCACUUCGCUCUGAUUCUCACUUUGCAAAUGACUAUGUAACUGCACAUGAGGUUUCUCUUGCUGAGACAUCCGAGGGGAUGUAUAUGGAAGAUGAGGUUCAACGUAAUGUUGAAAGACCAAGCUCCGAGGAUGAGCCUGCGCCUGAGACAAUGAUACAUGAUAAAGAAGAUGAAAACGAUCAAGAAAACAAAGAAGGUGAAGAAAACCACCAAGCUGAGGAAGAAGAGAAUUUGUUGGACAGUGGUGGAUCUCAGUUUAUAUUGAACUCGCAACAGCUGGUGGAAGCCUUGGCUCUUUGCGAUGAUCUCUUGCAGGUGGGAUCACAGGACGCAAACAAUGGAGGAGGAGGAGGAGGUUUAAGGAAUAAGCAGCAGCCAUGUUUUGGUGAUUACGCACACCUGGGAGGAACAGAUGACUUCAAACGGGAUCUGGAGGAUUGUCAGAAACUCGUUCUUGAUCCCUGCAACAUAGACCUUGAUACUCCACCUGAGUUCCGUUUGAGCCAGCUGGAGUUUGGAUCGCAGGAGAGCUUCCUCGCUUGGGGAACUGGAAAGACUGACUGACAAAAACAGAACUCACACGAGAUGGAGAUUAUGGGAACUCACUGAUUUUUUUUUUUGGUUGGCAAAACGGUGCUGUAUGAUAUUUUCCCUAUGCGCCUAAAGUGCUUGAGUUCAAAUUGUUUUUUGUUUGUUUUGUUGAGUUUGAACAACUACUUUGGAACUUGUCUCUGAUACUUGCAAUGUGGUUCUUUUGUAAAUGGUGCUUUUGAGAUAACGGAGCCCAAAACCUCCAUGGAGACUAGUUUACGCAGAGUAUACGGUCUUCAGUCACUGUCCACUGCUUAGACAAGAUCAAAAAUGGUGAUUACAUAUGCAGAAGUGUUUUUGGUAAAGGUUUACUCACGCUUUGAAAACUGCAAGUGUUGUGUAAAGUAUAGUGGACUAAUUACUCAUCCUCUCUAUGGGGAUCCACACUUUCCCCAGGUUGGUUAAUCUAAUCCAUUGUUAUGGUAAUGAUUGUUUGCUCAAGGAAACACGUUUCUCUAAAGUUUUUUUGUUUCUGAUAACAUUAUUAUUUAAGUUAUGUUAUAUAGCCUUAUACUUAAUAUUUCAUGUAAUGUACAAGCAGCAGGUUUGCCCGAGUGGUUAAGGGGGAAGACUUAAGUUCUUCUGCACAUAAGUGCGCGUGGGUUCGAACCCCACAGCCUGCAUUUUUUUGUAUUAAAUUUGACAAUUUCAGCUUGGAUACUCUACUUUUUUCAACUAUCUUUUCUUUUACUUCGUCCAACUAGGAUAAAACACGUGCAUGGUGAAUUUAUAUAAAAAUUAUUUAAGAAAUAUCGUAUGGAAAAAUAAAAUAUCAGUAAAUAAAUUAUGUAAUUAACAAAAACAUUUUUAAAAACUUGUUUAAGGGCUAAAAUAUUAAUUCGAUCAAGAAUAUAAAUUUUAAUGAAAUGAUCUAAUUUUUAAAAAUAUUUUAAAUCAAAAAAUCAUUUAUCAUAUAAGAACCUAAUGUUUAGGCCAAAAAAUAGUUACGAAAAAAACUAUGUUCGUUUAAUUUUAUAUCAUUAUUUAACUUAUGAACGUGCCCUGGAGCCUGUACCUGUGCAUAUUUGUGGGUUGGGCUUUAAAGUAUCCGACGACAUAGGCCAAUAAUGGCCAUAUGAGAAAACCAAGAGGAUUUGUGUUGCUAUAUAUUUUUUCUAUAACAUGUGCUCAGAAAAAAAAUAUAUAUCUAUCUAUCUAUACUAUUAUUUGCAAAGUAAAUUUUUGGAAUCGAGCUUUCACGUUAAAAGUUAGAGCGGUUAAUAUCAUUUAUACCCUUAAUGAAUAAAAUU